GUGAGGAAUAUUGGGCAAUGGGGGAAACCCUGACCCAGCGACGCCGCGUGAGGGAAGAAGGUCUUCGGAUUGUAAACCUCUGUCUUCGGGGACGAUAAUGACGGUACCCGGGGAGGAAGCCACGGCUAACUACGUGCCAGCAGCCGCGGUAAAACGUAGGUGGCAAGCGUUGUCCGGAAUUACUGGGUGUAAAGGGAGCGCAGGUGGGGCUGUAAGUCGAAUGUGAAAUCUAUGGGCUCAACUCAUAAAUUGCGUUCGAUACUAUAGUUCUUGAGUGGAGUAGAGGCAGGCGGAAUUCCCGGUGUAGCGGUGGAAUGCGUAGAUAUCGGGAGGAACACCAGUGGCGAAGGCGGCCUGCUGGGCUUUAACUGACACUGAGGCUCGAAAGCGUGGGUAGCAAACAGGAUUAGAUACCCGUGUAGUCC
rnacentral:rRNA from 1 species